UAUUACCCUCCUCCUCUUGGUGAUCGCCCUGCCCCAUAUGGUCUUCUGAAUUCAGGGCCUGCAUAUCGACAGGGUGGUUACCAAUGGGAUGACGGUAAUA